rnacentral:misc_RNA from 1 species
UACGUAGGUGCCAAGCGUUGUCCGGACUCAUUGGUCGUAAAGUGCGCGCAGGCGGUCUUUUAAGUCUGAUGUGAAAGCCCCCGGCUCAACCGGGGAGGGUCAUUGGAAACUGGGAGGCUUGAGUACAGAAGAGGAGAGUGGAAUUCCACGUGUAGCGGUGAAAUGCGUAGAUAUGUGGAGGAACACCAGUGGCGAAGGCGACUCUCUGGUCUGUAACUGACGCUGAGGCGCGAAAGCGUGGGGAGCAAACAGG